GAUGAACGCUGGCGGCGUGCCUAACACAUGCAAGUCGAGCGAACAGACGAGGAUCUGGCUCCUCUGACGUUACCGGCGGACGGGUGAGGUACACGUGCAUAACCUAUCUAUGAGACUGGGUUAACUUAGGGAAACCGGAGCUAGUACCGGAUAAUAGAUGGAACCGCAUGGUUCAAUAGUCAAAGCCGGUUUUGCUGUCACUUUUAGAUGGAUCCGCGUCGCUUUAGUUAGUUGGUAAGGUAACGGCUUACCAAGGCAACGUUGCGUAGCCGACCUGAGAGGGGGACGCGCCACACUGGGACUGAGACACGGCCCAGACUCCGACGGGAGGCAGCAGUAGGGAAUGUUGGGCAAUGGGGGGAAGAUUGACCGAGCCACGCCGCGUGGGUGAUGAAGGUCUUCGGGUGGGAAAACACUGUUAGUAGGGAAGAACGAUUGCGGCAGGAUCGAUGCUCGUGUUGACGGUACCUGCAGAAGAAGCACCGGCUAACUACGUG
rnacentral:rRNA from 1 species